rnacentral:tRNA from 1 species
GAGGGGGGCCCGAAGGCAACGGAAGCUGCUAACUUCCGCCCCCUUGGUUUAACUCCAAGGCCCGCUCG